UGAGGAACAUGACUUUCGGCGGGGGAUAGCCGGCCCAACGGCCGGGUAAUACCGCGUACGACCUUUUGGGGACAUCCCCGAUUGGUGAAAGCAGCAAUGCGCCGAAAGAGUGCCUCGCGGCCUAUCAGCUAGUUGGUGGGGUAACGGCUCACCAAGGCGACGACGGGUAGCUGGUCUGAGAGGAUGGCCAGCCACAUUGGGACUGAGACACGGCCCAGACUCCGUACGGGAGGCAGC
rnacentral:rRNA from 1 species